GGCCGAGGCUCCGCGGAAGGCUGCGACGAGGACUCGCCUUCGGGGCGGCGCGGAGAGCCACGCCACGCGCGGCCGCGGAGGGGAGAGAGAGGCCCCCAAGAGUCCCCAAGAAUUCUCCGGUUGUGUUUGAGUUGAUGACAAAUCACCAAGGUGCAAAUAUUCAGCAGUCAGCUUUGCAAGAGCUAAGCUAAAUACCCAAGUAAGGGUCUCAGUAAACAGAAAGGAUUUAUAAAGCUUUGGCCUCCACCACGGCAGUGCACCCAGCAGGGAGGAGCUGAUAUUGAGAAGUGGGCGGCUGAAGACAGAACACCGAGUGGAGACCCCUCAGCAUGGAGUUGAGUUUAAAGCCCCGCCAUGCGCCCUGUGAAGACUUCGGUUUCCUGGUCUAUAAAAUGAGGAAGUGGGGGUGAGGGAGGGGGAAAAGAUAACUGAGAUACAUUAUGUGCAUGUACCAAUCCCUUACAGUGAGUGUAAUCAUUAUGUACCACAACAUAUACUAAUAAAAGUAAAAAAAGAAAAAAUGGACAAAGAAUAAGAAAGAGUCAGAUUCUUUGGUCUGUGGCUCUAAUCGCCCUCUAAUCCUCUAGGUUUGCAUGAUCCAAUCACUGCUGCUAUGAGGAUGGUUCUUAGCUUACCUCUGAAUUAGCAGCCACAGCCCCUUAAUGCUCAGCCAUUGCUGGCGCUUGGCUAUGUAACAAGCGUUCCUUAUAAAAUCCUUCUCUUUCAGCCUCUACUUCAAAGCAGAUAUCCCCCAAAUACUAGAUUAUUACCUGCUCCUGUCAUCCCCCAUAUUUGGUUUCCUUUGUGUUUUGUCACCCAGUAGCCCAACCUAAAUAGGUAGAGGUUGCAUGAAAGGAAGAAAAGAAAUUUUUUAAAGUCAGAGCUCAGCUGUAGAUCAGUGGUUGCAAUUUGACCCCCAAGCAAGGCUGUGCUUCUGGAAGAACUAAGAUUUGUUGGUUUCAACACAGGAAGAUGUAAAAUGGGCUGUUAUCGC
rnacentral:lncRNA from 1 species